GCCAGACCAGGUAUUUUGCCUGUUCCGUGAUUUAAAGAGAAGCACUGCCCUAAAGAGUAACUCUAUCAGCAACAGAAAAGCUGCGAAGGUAGAACAGAGGAUAAUGUGAAAGGAUUUUGUCUGGUUCAUUUGGAGCACACUUGAAGGGUGAAAAAGAAGACAAAGAGGAAGCUCGAGAGAGUCUGUCACUGCCCUUCUCCUUCACACUUUCCAACAGACCUGAGCCUGGACGCUAGCCAUGGAGGAAGAGUAUAUGAAAAAGGGCUACCCUGAUGUCGUAACACAGCAGCACACGAGCAACGUGGAUAGGGGCUACUCCGAGACCAAGCGCGCCGAUUCGGGACCAAACGGCUGCAUGCGGUGCUGCAUGAGUACCAAGAGAUGCGUGAUGAGCCCGGAAUGUGGCAGAGCUCUGAGCAUCGCCAAUGUCAUCGCCAUGUGUGGCAUGUGUAUCCGCAUGUGGACGUAGAUUUCUACUGCUUCUGAAUCAAGAACAGUUUGUCUCCUGGUAGCUGCCACCCUGAACUUAGAAUAAUAGGAGGCAUCAUGAUUAUGGAAUCUUGACCACACCUCUACGAAACAACCAUUAUUACACACCCUUAGAUUGAACUCCACCCUAUUUUAUGAUGUCUUUUGCUAAUCAUAUAUAUCUUUGACAACACACACAAUAUUGCAGCAUAUCUGUAAGUAAACUUAUCGUUAAAUAGGGUAAUAAAUGGGUAAUGAAAAUGUAAUAUAACUGUAAAAAAUAGAAAUCGGAAUGGAUGAAUAACAUAUUCAUAUUUAAUGUAUAAAAUGUUUCAAGGAUUCUACAUCCUCAGGUCUCUGUCUUCCCUCAGCUGCUGUAUCAUGACAGGUAGCAGUGAGAUGUGACCGAGUGCCUGCAGGUGAACAAUCAGUAAAGCCUAGACCUUGAUUUUAACACUCUAACACUCCACAAAAACCCUGGAUAUUAGAUAGUUUCUGCUCAGAACUAGGCUGUGAAUGAUGACUUGUGAAAUGCAUUCUGCUACAGAUUAUUCACAGCCUCUCUCUCUGCGAUUGUCAUCUGCAACUAAAGUAAUUAAAUUAAAAAGUCUAGUGGCACUGGAGGUCAUGUUCACUGUCGUUUAGUUUUUAAUUUUCAUUUUGUUGACAAUUUUUCCUGUUUAAUUACCUUAAAUCAGUUAAGUAAUUUAAUCCUUUCAAGUGUCUUCCCCCACAAUUCUAAUGCUUUUCAUUUGCAUACGAGUAAUGGAGAACAGUCACCUUUUUGGGAUUCUCAACACAUAACCUUGUGUAUUUUAUUCUUCUCAUAACUGAUUAGACAUUACUAUCUUCUUCAUUUUUAUUUUUUUUUGUUAACUAAAACACUUGUCGUUUUUCCUAAACUUUUUUUUUUUUUUUUUUUUUUUGUGGUUGUAGUCUGAGCUAAAUUUAACAACGAUU